GACGAACGCUGGCGGCGUGCCUAAUACAUGCAAGUAGAACGCUGAAGGAGUAGCUUGCUUCUCUGGAUGAGUUGCGAACGGGUGAGUAACGCGUAGGUAACCUGCCUGGUAGCGGGGGAUAACUAUUGGAAACGAUAGCUAAUACCGCAUAAUAGCAGUUGUUGCAUGACAACUGUUUGAAAGGUGCAAUUGCACCACUACCAGAUGGACCUGCGUUGUAUUAGCUAGUUGGUGGGGUAACGGCUCACCAAGGCGAAGAUACAUAGCCGACCUGAGAGGGUGGUCAGACAAAAUGGGAAUGAGACACGGCCCAGAAUCCUAAGGGAGGCAGCAGUAGGGAAUCAUCGGCAAUGGACGGAAGUCUGACCGAGAAACGCCGCGGGAGUGAAGAAGGUUUUCGGAUCGUAAAGCUCUGUUGUAAGAGAAGAACGAGUGUGAGAGUGGAAAGUUCACACUGUGACGGUAUCUGACCAGAAAGGGACGGCUAACUACGUG
rnacentral:rRNA from 1 species